UUUCGGGCCUUCAGCUCUCAAGGAUCUCCGUCCAAACGCGGGUCUUGCCGUCUUACGGCGCGCGCCUCUUGGUGGCAUGGCGCAACACCUCCACGGCGGCCACGAGCUCGUCGCGCACCUCCGCGCGUCUUCGCUGCUGGCCGACCUCCUCCGCGCUGCGGCGAGCCUCCCCGCCACCCGAGCCGCGCACGCGCGCGUCCUCAAGUCUCCCUUCGCCGGCGAGACGUUCCUGCUCAACACGCUCGUCUCCGCGUACGCGCGACUGGGCCGCCUCCGCGACGCCCGCAGCGUGUUCGACGGGAUACCGCUCCCGAACACCUUCUCCCACAACGCUCUCCUCUCCGCGUACGCGCGCCUGGGCCGCCCCGACGAGGUCCGCGCGCUGUUCGAUGCCAUCCCGGAACCCGACCAGUGCUCCUACAAUGCCGCUGUCGCGGCGUUCGCGCGGCACGGGCGCGGGCACGGGCACGCCGGGGACGCGCUCCGGUUCCUCGCCGCCAUGCACGCCGACGACUUCGUGCUCAACGCGUACUCCUUCGCCAGCGCGCUGAGCGCCUGCGCCGCGGAGAAGGACCCGCGGACCGGGGAGCAGGUGCACGGGCUCGUCGCCAAGUCGCCGCAUGCGGAGGACGUGCGCAUCGGGAGCGCGCUCGUGGACAUGUACGCCAAGUGCGAGCGCCCGGAGGAUGCUCGCAGGGUGUUCGACACAAUGCCGGAGCGGAACGUUGUUUCCUGGAACAGUUUGAUCACUUGCUACGAGCAGAACGGUCCCGUGGGCGAGGCUCUCGUUCUGUUUGUCGAGAUGAUGGAUGCGGGUUUCAUUCCUGAUGAGGUGACGCUGGCGAGCAUUAUGAGCGCGUGUGCAGGCCUCUUUGCGGAGAGGGAAGGACAGCAGGUCCAUGCCCGUGUGGUAAAGUGCAAUAGGUUUAUGGAGGACAUGGUGCUGAACAAUGCUCUGGUGGACAUGUAUGCAAAGUGUGGAAGGACAAGGGAGGCAAGAUGUGUCUUUGAUUCCAUGGCUUCCAGGAGUGUCGUGUCCGAAACUUCCAUGCUCACAGGGUAUGCAAAGUCUUCAAAUGUGGAAGGUGCUCAGGUUGUAUUCUCGCAGAUGAUUGAGAAGAAUGUCAUUGCUUGGAAUGUGCUAAUUGCAGCGUAUGCACAGAAUGGUGAGGAGGAGGAAGCACUUCGGCUCUUUGUCAGGCUGAAAAGAGAGUCAGUUUGGCCAACACAUUACACAUAUGGAAAUGUUCUCAAUGCAUGUGGGAAUAUUGCUGAUCUUCAGCUUGGUCAGCAAACUCAUGUUCAUGUCCUCAAGGAAGGUUUCCGCUUCGACUUCGGGCCAGAGUCUGAUGUGUUUGUUGGGAACUCCCUUGUAGACAUGUACCUGAAGACAGGCUCAAUCGAUGAUGGUGCAAAGGUUUUCGAGAGUAUGGCAGCGAGAGAUAAUGUGUCCUGGAAUGCAAUGAUUGUUGGUUAUGCACAGAAUGGCCGUGCAAGAGAUGCAUUGCAACUUUUUGAGAGAAUGCUGCGCAGCAAAGAGAGGCCAGACUCUGUCACGAUGAUUGGGGUUCUGUCAGCCUGUGGCCAUUCUGGGUUAGUUGAGGAGGGCAGGAGGUACUUUCAGUCCAUGACUGAGGAUCAUGGAAUUACUCCAUCACGAGAUCACUACACAUGCAUGAUUGACUUGCUUGGUCGUGCCGGUCAUCUCAAAGAAGUUGAGGAGCUCAUAAAGAACAUGCCGAUGGAACCUGACUCUGUGCUCUGGGCUUCACUGCUAGGUGCUUGCAGACUUCAUAAGAACGUUGAGUUGGGGGAAUGGGCAGCUGGAAAAUUGUUUGAGAUUGAUCCUGGGAACUCUGGACCCUAUGUUCUUCUCUCCAAUAUGUAUGCUGAGAUGGGGAAAUGGACAGAUGUUUUUAGAGUGAGGAGAUCCAUGAAGGACAGGGGUGUCAGUAAGCAGCCUGGCUGUAGUUGGAUUGAGAUAGGCAGGAAAAUGAAUGUCUUUCUCGCACGAGAUAAUCGACAUCCAUGCAGGAAUGAAAUAAACGAUACCUUAAGAAUCAUUCAGAUGGAGAUGGGCAGAAUGAGUAUAGAUGCUGAGAUUGCUAAUUGCUUAUCGAAUUACUGCUCUGAAGCCUGUGGCUGCAAUUGAAAGUCAGAUGACUUCUGAAGUCGGUGUUGACAAGUUGAUAUUAUAUUGUUGAUGGCCUGUUGAGUCGUAACAUCAUUGAUCAUUGGUUGCUUCUCUGGCCUCAGUUAGAAAGUUGAAAUGCCACUUGCACAGAAAACAAUUUGUACUGUCAAUAUUUGAUAGCACUUACCUGAAAGUUUACAAGAUAACGUUUACUGAAAAAAAAAUGAAAAAGUCUCAAUAAUGUAUUUUGGAAGCAAAGUUCAGAAACAUGGAGUGGAAGAGAAGUGAGCAAACAAAGUUCCCAUUGACUUCCUCGAGAUCCCUGCAAGUGCAACACGCCUUGGCCCCUUCAGGUAUAUUAACUCAGGUUCUAGCCUCUGCUAGGAACUUUUAGUUGCAGCUUAAGCAAUGGCCGCCUCCCUGGUGCUCCUGUUUACCCUCCUUCUCGCCGGCAGUUUCCUCCUCCCUGGGCCCUCCUUGGUCGAGGCAGAGGCUGCCGUGGAGCUGGGAGAGGCGGUCCUGACGCUGGACGCCAGCAAUUUCUCGGAGGUGGUGGCCCAACACCAGUUCAUUGUCGUCGAGUUCUACGCGCCAUGGUGCGGCCACUGCAAGCAACUCGCUCCAGAGUACGAGAAGGCAGCUGCCGUUCUGAGGAAGCACGAUCCGCCAUUGGCGCUUGCAAAGGUGGACGCGUAUGAUGAAAGGAACAAGGAGAUCAAGGACAAGUACCAGGUGCAUGCGUACCCCACCAUCAAGAUCAUAGAGAACAGAGGAAACAAUGUGCGCGGCUAUGGUGGUCCUCGGGAUGCAGAUGGCAUUGUGGAGUACAUCAAGAAGCAGGUCGGCCCGGCUUCCAUCGAGCUCAGAUCGGCGGAGGAGGCAGCCCGCGCCAUUGGUGACAAGGGGGUCGUUCUUGUAGGAGUUUUUCCCAAGUUUGCCGGUGUGGAUUAUGAGAAUUUUAUGGCCGUGGCAGAGAAGAAACAGUCAGACUAUGAUUUCUUUCACACGUCAGAUGCUGGUAUUCUGCCGCGUGGUGAUCAGGCUGUCAAGGGCCCUGUUGUGCGUCUCUUUAAACCAUUUGACGAGCUCUUUGUUGAUUCUCAGGAUUUUGAUAAGGAUGCUCUUGAAAAAUUCAUUGAGGUGUCUGGUUUCCCUACUGUAGUUACAUUCGAUGCUGAUCCAACCAACCAUAAGUUUCUUGAGAGAUACUACAGCACUCCUAGUGCCAAAGCGAUGCUUUUCUUGAACUUCAGUGAUGACAGAAUCGAGACCUUCAAGAGUCAAAUUCAAGAUGCAGCCAAGAAAUUCAGUGCAAAUAACAUCAGUUUUCUAAUUGGUGAUGUUGAAGCUGCUGACCGUGCCUUCCAGUACUUUGGGCUCAAAGAGAACGAUGUGCCCCUCCUUUUUGUGAUCGCACAAGGUGGGAAAUAUCUCAAUCCAACUAUUGACCCUGAUCAAGUUAUACCCUGGUUAAAGCAAUACAUAUAUGGAAAUUUGACGCCUUAUGUUAAGUCAGAGCCAAUCCCCAAGGUGAAUGACCAACCUGUUAAGGUCGUCGUGGCUGACAGCAUUGAUGACAUUGUUUUCAACUCUGGCAAAAAUGUACUGCUCGAAUUUUAUGCUCCUUGGUGUGGCCAUUGCCGGAAGCUGGCCCCGAUCUUGGAGGAAGUUGCAGUCUCAAUGCAAGACGAUGAAGAUGUCGUCAUUGCAAAGAUGGAUGGCACUGCAAACGAUAUCCCUACCGACUUUGCGGUCGAGGGGUACCCCACGAUCUACUUCUACUCGACCACAGGGGACCUCUACUCAUACAACGGCGGGAGGACGGCGGAGGACAUCAUCAGUUUCAUCAAGAAGCACAAGGGGCCAAAAGCUGGUGCAGCGGAGGAAGUGACACAGACGGGUGCCGGCGCUGUAGAAGACGGCAUCACACCUUCACCGCCGUCUGAACUUCUGAAAGACGAGCUGUAACCAAGACACCGUACCUAUCCUUUUGUCGAUCAGUAGCUCCUCGAUCUGUUCUACGUCUUCUGCUCAGAGGCAUCUCGGAUGCAAUUAACCCGAAAGUACUCUGCAGACCACAGAUUACACGGAGCAGAUGUUCGAGGCAGUUGUGCGGAUCAGUUUGUGUUAUCGUGGAGUGAAACUCAUACGAGGUUCAGAGACGAGUUUCAGUUGUUAGUUGGCAUAAAUUGUUCCGGAAACUAUUUGCCACAGAUUGUCAUCGCUAAAUGUAUUAAGGUCAUUAGUUGUUCGUGUUGAAAUUUGCUUAUCGUUCGUGAGUCGUAAGUCAUAUAACAAUACUGAAUUGAAUAAGGCCAUUGCAGUCCCUAGUCCG